rnacentral:rRNA from 1 species
UACGGAGGGUGCAAGCGUUGUCCGGAUUUAUUGGGUUUAAAGGGUGCGUAGGUGGGUUGUUAAGUCCGCGGUGAAAGCUCAGGGCUCAACUGUGGAACUGCAGUUGAUACUGGCGAGCUUGAGUCCAGACGAGGUAGGCGGAAUGGAAGGUGUAGCGGUGAAAUGCAUAGAUAGCACGCAGAACCCCGAUUGCGAAGGCAGCUGACUAGGGUGGUACUGACACUGAGGCACGAAAGCGUGGGUAUCAAACAGG